UACGAAGGGGGCUAGCGUUGCUCGGAAUUACUGGGCGUAAAGGGCGCGUAGGCGGAUAGUUUAGUCAGAGGUGAAAGCCCAGGGCUCAACCUUGGAACUGCCUUUGAUACUGGCUAUCUUGAGACCGGGAGAGGUGAGUGGAAUUCCCAGUGUAGCGGUGAAAUGCGUAGAUAUUGGGAGGAACACCAGUGGCGAAGGCGGCUCACUGGACCGGUACUGACGCUGAUGCGCGGAAAGCGUGGGGAGCAAACGGG
rnacentral:rRNA from 1 species